rnacentral:tRNA from 1 species
AAACAUGGCUUGAAAAAGGUAUUUACCUUUUUCUUUAAAUUUAUUUUUAUUUAUAUAUGGU